rnacentral:rRNA from 1 species
CCCAUCCCGAACACGGAAGAUAAGCUCGCCUGCGUUACGGUGAGUACUGGAGUGGGCGACCCUCUGGGAAACUCGUUUCGCCGCCUCCA